GAAAUGCGAUACGUAAUGCGAAUUGCAGAAUUCAGUGAAUCAUCAAAUCUUUGAACGCAACUUGCGCUUCUGGGUAUCCCUGGAAGCAUACCUCUCUGAGUAUCGUUUCAACACAAACUCGACUGCGUACUUUUCGAAGUAUUUGAUGUGUCGGUGAAUGAGUUGUCUCAGUGUGGAAGCAUUGAGUCACUUGAAGCGAAUAGCACUUCUCUAUCAAUUCGUUCAGGUUUUUCGAAGCUUGACUUAUUGAUGUUCGAUAAUUGACCCUAUGGUCAUUUACUAUCACAUCGAUGAGUAGAAUUUUGAAUAGAAGAGUGUCAAAACAAGGAACCUGAAGAGUUGAUUCUCUUCUGAUCUUGAUCUCAGAUGAAGUAAGAGAACCCGCCGAAUUUAA
rnacentral:misc_RNA from 1 species